rnacentral:rRNA from 1 species
UACGUAGGUGGCAAGCGUUGUCCGGAAUUAUUGGGCGUAAAGCGCGCGCAGGCGGUCCUUUAAGUCUGAUGUGAAAGCCCACGGCUCAACCGUGGAGGGUCAUUGGAAACUGGGGGACUUGAGUGCAGAAGAGGAGAGUGGAAUUCCACGUGUAGCAGUGAAAUGCGUAGAGAUGUGGAGGAACACCAGUGGCGAAGGCGACUCUCUGGUCUGUAACUGACGCUGAGGCGCGAAAGCGUGGGGAGCAAACAGG